UUAUUUAUCUGCUCAUAAAUGCUGAUAGUCAAGAACAAAAUGAACAAGUCACAAGAUAUUGAAAACAAACAUCCUUAGGAGCAGCUGAUCCUGGUGUGCCAGGCUGGCUUCUUUGAGAUGUGAAAUUGUGAUUCUUCAUUAUAUUGCUUAAGUCAGAUGUCACGUGGUAUGACAGGAGGCGUGUUCCUAUGAUAGAAUUAUCAUCAACAGUAGGAAGCCCAGAAUCAAAAUGGACACUCAGUUGGAGCAGCCGCACUAGCCUGCCAGACAUAGGUGACAUAUCCAAGUGCUUGUCCUUCAUCAGAUGUUUCUAUAAGCAGCAGAGCAGAAAGCUCUAAUAUCUAUUCAUUCGUAAUGUGUCAUUCUGAAUGUAUUAAGGAUAACUGACUUCACAUGUCAUAGGUAAUUAUAAAAGUCACCUUCAGUUUCAGGUUUUUAAAGCACAAUACCAUAUACUUUUAAUAAGCAUAUGUAUUGAUGUCUUUUGAAUGUCUGAAUCUCUUUUCAUUUCUCACUUUUAUGGUGGAUAAAUUGUCUCCAUGGUCAUUUAAUUUAAAAGAUUAAUUUUCUCUGUCAGGUGCAGUGGCUCACG